UUACAGUCCAUGGUUCCUCUAUGGUAACAGCCAGUAAACCAGCCAGUCAGUCAGCUCUUCCUUUCUGUUCAUAAUGUCUAUUACAGUCCAUGGUUCCUCUGUGGUAACAGUCAGUAAACCAGCCAGUCAGUCAGCUCUUCCUUUCUGUCCAUAAUGUCUAUUACAGUCCAUGGUUCCUCUGUAACAGUCAGUAAACCAGUCAGUAAACCAGCCAGUCAGCUCUUCCUUAAUGUUCAUAAUGUCUUUAAACUGUACAUCUUUUACAAACAAUGUUACAUACAAUGUCAUCAUCAUCAUCAUCAUCAUCAUCAUCAUGGCAUCUCAACAGACACAAACUAAAGAGAUCAGCCCAGUCCCGAACGGCACCCUAUUCCCUAUUAUAGUGCACUACUUUAGACCAGGACCCUAUUCUCUAUUAUAGUGCACUACUAUAGACCAGGGCCCUAUUCCCUAUUAUAGUGCACUACUAUAGACCAGGGCCCUAUUCCCUAUUAUCGUGCACUACUAUAGACCAGGGCUGGCACGCUAUUCCCUAUUAUAGUGCACUACUUUAGACCAGGGCCCUAUUCCCUAUUAUAGUGCACUACUAUAGACCAGGGCCCUAUUCUAUAUUAUAGUGCACUACUUUAGACCAGGGCCCUAUUCCCUAUUAUAGUGCACUACUUUAGUCACCAUGUUUUGAGUUAAUUAGGUUUUGAUGUGUAAUUUGUUAGAUUUUAAGGUUUUUGUCGUGUAAUUUGUUAGAUAUUAAGGUUUUUGUCGUGUAAUAUGUUAGAAUGUUAGAAUUUUAGGUUUUUGUCGUGUAAUUUGUUAGAUAUUAAGGUUUUUGUCGUGUAAUUUGUUAGAUAUUAAGGUUGUCGUGUAAUUUGUUAAAUAUUAAGGUUUUUGUCGUGUAAUUCGUUACUGUCGGAUCUAGAAGCACAAACAUUUCGCUACACUCGCAAUAACAUCCGCUAAACAUUACAUUUUACAUUUGAGUAAUUUUAGUCAUUUUAGCAGACGCUCUUAUCCAGAGCGACUUACAGUAGUGAAUACAUACAUUUCAUUAAAAAAAAAAUUUCUCUCCGUACUGGUCCCCCCCGUGGGAAUCGAACCCAUAACCCUGGCGUUGCAAACACCAUGCUCUACCAACUGAGCCACACGGGACCACGUGAUGUACGUGGACCAAUAACAUCAGCUAACCAUGAUGUACGUGGACCAAUAACAUCAGCUAACCACGAUGUACGUGGACCAAUAGCAUCGGAUUAGGUGGCUGACCCUCUGGCCAGUAGUAGUGCGCUACCUAGGGAAUAGGAUGCCGUUUGAGCUGAAUUUUUUUUAUUUUUUAAAGAGAUAAUAACAUAGAUAUAUAUUUUCUAGAAUAUAUGCAACAGAAAGUUUGACUGACCGGGUCGACACGGUUACCACGGUUACAGCGGGACGUAACGUGUGUGUGUGUGACCGAAAAAAGCAGUUCGGAUAGAAAUUACGCUAUGUAGAACAAAACACGCCUCUCUCUGACAGACAUAGAAUGAAAGGAAUUACGGGUUUGGAUCUAUACGUGACAUUUCUAUCUGCUACGUUCCACAAAACGUUUUGGCGACCGAACGUGAAAAAAAAAUCCAGUGUAAUUUAAUUACGUCAGAUGAUCAAUUAAGUUCUGAGGGACUCUAUAAAUGAAAAAAAACGUUCCAUUAAAUCUACGAGCCCAAAUCAGCACCUGUGAAUUUGGUGAUUUAUUCGCGGAUUCGCAGGUCGCGAAAUCCAACAGUCUGUGAAUAGACAGCUACUGUCAUUUUAUGUUAACGUGUAUCGGUCCACAAGGAGAACGAGCCCUCUUCCUCCUCUUCCUCCUCUCCGUACCCCCCCCCCCCCCCCCACCCCUCAUCCCCGUCCGUCCGUCAGCCAAACUAACAAAAUAUAAACCAACAGAAAUAAAAAACUAAAUAAACACAUGAUAUCACACACUGUCAAUCAUCAACCAAAUGGGGGGGAAAGUCAACGUAAGAUGUGACUGAAAUAACAAGUCGUGGCUGGAGUAACAACGUAACAUGCAGGACGAGGGACCAGGGACGAGGGGGGACGGGGGACCAGGACGAGGACCAGGGGGGACGAGGGACCGGGGGAGACC
rnacentral:lncRNA from 1 species